rnacentral:piRNA from 1 species
UCUAAAAAACUAUCAAACUGAUUUCCA